CAACGGCUUUAGAAGUUUUCCAAGCAUUCAAUAUAUUUUCGAUGAAGCCUUAUUUACGGAUUUAUAUUCAUUAUUCGCAUAAGUUUCAAAUGAUUAUAAAUUCUGUUUAAAAUAUUUUCAACGAAUUUUCUCCGGGUACCUAUGGCACAAAAUUGGAACGUUUACUUCAUUAUUUUGCCACAAGAUGGCGCUACUACACAGCGUUCGAGGUGCAAAACAUCGCAUGGAAUGUAAAAAGGUUUUGGUUUAUUUUUAAUGAUUAUGUAUCUAUCCAACCGAAAAGUAGAAAUUAAACAAUCGAUUGUUAUAAAACGAUCCAUAACGUUUUGUUCUAGAAUGAUUCUAUUUAAUUUGUUGAUUUAUAAUAAAGGAAAACUUACAACAAAAAAUAUUUGCUCAUAUGCCAAAACGGUAAUACAAAUGGAUAUCCCAUUGUGCGAGGGCGCCAAAAAUAAACGUCAAACCAAACUGUUUAAUUACAUUCUAUUUUGUGAACGGUGAGCUUCUGUGUGAACGGUGAGCUUUAUGUUGUGUUUAAACCAAGUAUAAUUGUUUGUGGUCUUAAGAUGGAUCAAUACUCUACGGUGGAGGAAGAGUUCGAGUUGGUUUACGGAGAUGAUCUCGAAGCCAUGGACGAAGUGGACGCUGAACCAUCAUCGGGGAUGCGAAAUGGUCCGUCAGUGCCAAGUACGCCUUCCAAUGGAAAUGCAAGGAUUGGUCCAAGAGCUUCAAGCUCCUGCUCAAACUAUCGUACCCCGGGUCAAUUGGCAACUAUCGAUGAAAGUCCCCUAGCUAGUCCAGCGUUGUCCAUUAUCACUCGUGGCAGUAGUACCGCUCAUAAACGGCUGUUUGAUACUCCUGACCCGUCAUCACGUACAGCUGUUAACGGCAUUGGUAAAUAUGGCCUUGCUGCAUCAACACCCUUUCCUGGAUCAACGACCAAUGCAAAUGCACUUCAAACAUUGCAACAAAUGGACACUAAUCCUCGCAAACGUCGGCUUGAAGCUCUGUUUGGCGAUAUUCGUGAUAUCGAGGAGGAAUCGAACGAGCAGUACGUGUAUUCUUCGCAGAAAAAGACGAAGACAGAAGAAGAGCAGGACAUGGAGCUUAUUGAACGAAUUCUGGAAGCACGCCAACGAUACAAUGCUGUGGCAAAUCCGUCUAAACCGUCAAUUCUAUCGCGUGCCGAAGCGUUACAUCGAUUUAAGAUGGAUAAUAUUUCACUCGAACCACCGAAGUGGCCAUCAAUGACGGUAAAAAGGGAUGAUAAAACAUGCGUGUACGUUCGCUUUCAUUCAGAGGAUUUUGAAAAGAAUCAAAUUGAUGAGAUCAAUUGUGCAAGGUCCGGUUUUAAUAGUUUGCUAGGAGCUGAAAAGGAACGAAUAUGGAGGGAAGCAAAUGAGAUAGUCGCCAAACGUUUAACCGAACCAGCAAAUGCUAUUGCAUCGCAACCGCCUGAGAUAGAGGAAAUCAUUAUACCAAGCGAAAGCAAUGUACUCUGGGUAGAAAAAUAUCGUCCCAGGCGGUAUAUUGAUCUGCUGUCCGACGAAACUACGAACCGAAAUCUCCUACAGUGGCUUAAACUUUGGGAUAAAAUGGUGUUUAAUCGAGAGCCGGUGAAAAAGGUGAAAGACACCAAAACAGAGCUCAGCAGUUUCAACAAAAAAACGGGCCGUUUCGAAUCAAACGGAGGGUGGGUAAAAGGGGCCCGUAAAGUUCGCUCAACACUUAAUACGGAGUUGGAUGAGCAUGGUUAUCCGGUUCAGAAGGUGGCUUUACUUUGUGGCCCUCCUGGGUUAGGAAAGACCACGCUUGCACACACAAUCGCACGCCACGCGGGAUAUACCAUCAGAGAGGUAAAUGCGUCUGAUGAUCGCAGCCCGGAUGCAUUCCGGUUGGUGCUUGAGAAUGGCACACAGAUGAAAUCUGUGCUGAACGAAGAAAACCGACCAAACUGUAUUGUGCUCGAUGAAAUCGACGGUGCACCGGUGGCAGCGAUUGAGUUUCUGCUUCGAUUUAUCGCCGGCAAUACUGGGACACAGAAAGCCAGUGGUCUUAAGAAAGCAAACAAAGCGGGGCGUGAUAAAGUUUUGCUGAAGCGACCAAUCAUCUGCAUUUGUAACGAUAUGUAUGUACCAGCACUGCGACAGCUGCGACAGGUAGCAUAUGUGGUAAAUUUUCCACCAACAGAAGGUGUUCGUCUUGCGGAACGGUUACUCGUAAUCGCAAAGAAGGAACACAUCACAACGGACCUUACUUCGAUGCUGGCGCUGGCAGAAAAAACUGGAAACGAUGUACGGGCGUGUCUUGCGAUGUUGCAGUUCUUUGCUUGUGCGAAAAAGCCGAUCCGACUCACGGACGUUCUUAAGUGUAACGUUGGUCAGAAGGAUCGCCACAAGGGACUGUUUAGCAUAUGGUCAUCUGUAUUUCAGAUAAAACGUCCGCAGAAAACGAUCACUGUCGACCCUAAUGCGACUGUAACGGAAAUGGUUACACUUACCGAUAUGUCAGCCUCAACACGAAUGUCCACCGUGCUCCAGGUGGUCACAAUGGCCGGUGACUAUGAGCGCUUAAUGCAGGGUGUGUUCGAAAAUUAUCUACACCAAAAAAUGCCCGACGGAGAUAUGUGCGGUGUGGCCGAAGCAAUGGAAUGGUUUAGCUUCAAUGACCGGCUACAGCGCACGCUAAACCAGCUGCAGAACUACGCCAUUUAUCCGUAUUUGGCGUAUGCGUUCGUUAUGUGGCACUAUCUGUUUGCAACGCUAGCCUGGCCCAAAAUCAAUUUUCCCAGCAAAGGCUAUGAGCACUCGCAAAAACUAGCCAGCACGAAGCUUAUACUAACAGGACUGAGGAAAGGACUGUCCGCUCAUUUAAAAGGUAUCGGCGAAGGUGCAACAGUGCUAAUCGAUACGAUACCGAUGUUGAAGCGUGUCAUCAAUCCCUCACUGCGAUCGGUUUCUCUGCAAUUGUUAUCUCAAAAGGAAAAAUCCGACCUCACGCACACGGUGAAAGUGAUGGCAGAUUUUGGGCUGAACUACAUCCAACUGAAAACGCCCGAAGGAACGUACCAGUAUCAGCUAAAUCCGGAUCUUGAUCAGUUGUGCACAUUCGGGGGAACUGCCGGUCAAAGCUCCACCUACUUUGGCAAGCAGAUUGUGGCACGUGAAGUCGAGCUGGAGCAAAUGCGCCGAGCCCAACCGAAACUGUUGGAAAACGAAAAGAACGGUCGCACUGUCGCUGGCACAAGCUCGUCCAGAACGAAAGUAAGCACCUUCAAAGGUGCGUCGAAUGGUAGCCACAAAGAGUAUGGGGUACCAGCGUCGGGGAAGAUCCAAGAAGCUUCAAAGUCAUCGCCUGAUCUGCCAAAUCAUCUGCGCACACUGAAGCCGAAGGAAAUUGUACAGAAAACGAAGCAAGUGGUUUCGAAGGACUUUUUCGGUCGGAUAUAUACGAAGGAAACAGUACUAUCGGUGAAGGAAGGUGGAACUGAUGCCAUAGUGAAAAGUCCGAUUUGGUACCGGUACAAAGAAGGAUACAACAACGCAUUCGAAAUAUACGUACAUAUGUUUGGAUUACGAAUAGGUAGAUAUUGGACACCAGGUUUCCUCUCAACCAAGAUUUAUGCAAUAAUCGGAACGGGAUCAUUUGCACCGAAAAAUAAACUGAAACCGCGGUCAUUGCCAAGGCGCUUGAAGAAUCGAACAAAUAUAUACCCUGUUUCGCCUUCGUGAGAACGUUUCUCCGCUUUUAGUGGUGGAUUAUGCCAAUUCUUGCUUGAUGUGCUGUUUAUUUGUAGACGGUUUAUUGUACCCGCCGUAUUGUUGUUGCCCGGCAUUGUGCCAAUUGUGCAGUGGAAAGCACCGUAAAAACGGUGUUUUUUUAUCGCGUGUAAUACGAGUGCGUCGCCCCGCCAAUACGAUGCAGCCAAUUGCAUGCAGAUUUUUUGCAUGCAGUAACAGAAACCGAUAAGAGUAUUCUCAAUUCGUGUGUGUGUGUUUUUGUGAUUUUUGUGUGUGCUUCGUAGAAACGAUUCGUAGAAUUUGUUUGAAAAUCUUAUGCCUAUCAGUUAAUUUAAACUUGCAUACGAAUCGCAUCGAAUGGAACAGUGUAUGUGUGUGAUUUAAAAUAAAAAUAUUUACAAAAAAGUGUACGCGUGGG